rnacentral:lncRNA from 1 species
GGGAGAUUGUUGGAAGUAUGCCCACAAAGCCACUCAUUUGAUGUAAUAGCUUUUGGAAUACUUAUUGUAUUAAAUUAUUAUAUGUUUAAUAAAGGGCAAAGCUUAUUGUUAAUCACUAUUUAUUGUAUCAUGUGUUUAAGCAAUAAGGGAAUCCAAGGAAUGUAUUUGAUCUAAGAGAUAAGAGAUUUAAGUAAGUUAGAUUAACGAGACAUUUCUCUUAUGUUCAUUCCUAAAAAGUUCAUAGCCAUAGGAUUGCCAAUUGGGCAUUGACAAUCUGCUAAGGUUAGUAUGUGUUAUGUCAACUCAAGCGUGAGUAUGACUAAUCUCAAGUCAUUUAGUGUUGGACACUAAGACGAACACAUAGGUGCUCGAAAGAGUAAUCGAGUACACUGAACAACGAUAAAAAGAUAGUUCGAACAUACAUGUCAUGUAAGAACUCGUUAGUUGCAAUAUGCAAAGUAGUCAUUUGACCUGAGACAUCAUAGAUAUCUAAUGGUUAGGUCCUUGAUCUUUGAUCAUGUCAAAGGCAUUCCAUCAAGAGUGUCCAUGGCAUUGUUGGGGUCAAGCUAUCUAGUCAUGUAGGCAUAUGAAUGCACAACAAGGGAUCUCUAA